AGGACGAACGCUGGCGGCGUGCUUAACACAUGCAAGUCGAGCGGAAAGGCCCUUCGGGGUACUCGAGCGGCGAACGGGUGAGUAACACGUGAGUAAUCUGCCCCUAGCUCUGGGAUAGCUCCGGGAAACCGGGAUUAAUACCAGAUACGACCACUUUAGACAUCUGUUGUGGUGGAAAGAAUUUUGGCUAGGGAUGAGCUCGCGGCCUAUCAGCUUGUUGGUGAGGUAACGGCUCACCAAGGCGACGACGGGUAGCCGGCCUGAGAGGGCGACCGGCCACACUGGGACUGAGACACGGCCCAGACUCCUACGGGAGGCAGCAGUGGGGAAUAUUGCGCAAUGGGCGAAAGCCUGACGCAGCGACGCCGCGUGGGGGAUGAAGGCCUUCGGGUUGUAACCCUUUCAGCAGGACGAAGCGAAAGUGACGGUACCUGCAGAAGAAGCGCCGGCUAACUACGUGCCAGCAGCCGC
rnacentral:rRNA from 1 species